UUGGAUUGUACUCACACUAGAUAGUAUGAUUGCUGGUAGGUAUAAAAAAAAUCAUUCAUUAUGUGAAGACCAAAUUUGAAUUAUUUUUUUCUAAAAAACUGAUGCAUAUGUCUCUGAGAAAUUUUCAAAUUAAAAUGAUCACUUUAAACCAUUACUACUAUGGCACACUAAAUCCUCACUCGCUCUUUCUUUGACAGACCUUUAUCCAAAAUGAAUCCAAACCAAUAGGAUAAUUAAUGGACAGGAGCUAUAUCUUUCACAUGAAAGAAUGAUGC
rnacentral:lncRNA from 1 species